UCAGUCAUCAGUCAACUGUGUGUGAAGUCCACGUGCAGUGUAAAAAAGUGUAUUGUACUUUUAUUAUUAGGCAAGACCUAUUAAUUAGUCAGAUAUGGAUUACGAGAAGGAGAAGCAAAGAUUAUUAAAAUUAUUUGAGGAAGUAUCGACUGACGAGGAAACGUAUGAAAAUGAUGAUUAACAAAGUUACUUUUUGUUAAAGUAAUACAAUGUUGA
rnacentral:lncRNA from 1 species